ACACUCCUGCGGGAGGCAGCAGUGGGGAAUAUUGGACAAUGGGCGCAAGCCUGAUCCAGCCAUGCCGCGUGAGUGAUGAAGGCCCUAGGGUUGUAAAGCUCUUUCACCGGUGAAGAUAAUGACGGUAACCGGAGAAGAAGCUCCGGCUAACUUCGUGCCAGCAGCCGCGGUAAUACGAAGGGGGCUAGCGUUGUUCGGAUUUACUGGGCGUAAAGCGCACGUAGGCGGACUAUUAAGUCAGGGGUGAAAUCCCGGGGCUCAACCCCGGAACUGCCUUUGAUACUGGUAGUCUUUAGUUCGAGAGAGGUGAGUGGAAUUCCGAGUGUAGAGGUGAAAUUCGUAGAUAUUCGGAGGAACACCAGUGGCGAAGGCGGCUCACUGGCUCGAUACUGACGCUGAGGUGCGAAAGGGUGGGAAGCAAACAGGAUUAGAAACCCGAGUAGUCCCA
rnacentral:rRNA from 1 species